CAGUCGCCGCGGUAAUACGGAGGGUGCAAGCGUUAAUCGGAAUUACUGGGCGUAAAGCGCACGCAGGCGGUCUGACAAGUCAGAUGUGAAUUCCCCGGGCUUAACCUGGGAACUGCAUUUGAAACUGUCAGGCUGGAGUCUUGUAGAGGGGGGUGGAAUUCCAGGUGUAGCGGUGAAAUGCGUAGAGAUCUGGAGGAAUACCGGUGGCGAAGGCGGCCCCCUGGACAAAGACUGACGCUCAGGUGCGAAAGCGUGGGGAGCAAACAGGAUUAAAUACCCCUGUAGUCCCUGUCUCUUAUAC
rnacentral:rRNA from 1 species